rnacentral:pre_miRNA from 1 species
CAACUACUCCCUCUAUCCCAAAUUUCUUGUCUUAGAUUUGUCUAGAUACGGAUGUAUCUAAUACUAAAAUGUGAUUUGAUACAUCCGUAUCUAGACAAAUCUAAGACAAGAAUUUUGGGACGGAGGGAGUACUUU